rnacentral:misc_RNA from 1 species
AGCAGUUGGAAGUUGGAAGGUGAUAACGUGUGGGCACAUUUGGGUGUUUUGUUGAUUGGCACCAAACAGUUCCAUGGCAGCAAAACUUGUACUCUCUCCUGUCUCUCUUCCGUGGAGUUUACAGAGUGUACAGAAACCGCAUGUAUGUCUCAGAACAAAACCCAGAAGCCGCUUCGCCGUUAAAGCCUAUAGCGAUGUGCUUUUCUGUGCUGCUAGUGCUACUGCUCUACUUUAUCAAGAAAACCCUUCUUCUCUCUUCUCACUUGCAGCAGCAGCAGAUUCUGGUUAUUCAUUGGCUAGCUAUUACACUUCUCUAGGUCUAUUUGUCAUCUCUGUUCCCGGUCUUUGGUCCCUUAUUAAACGAUCUGUUAAAUCCAAGAUUGUGCAGAAGACAUUUAUUAAGCAAGGAAUAGAUGAGGGAAAGAAAGCGGCUAACCAGGUUGCUGGGGAAAUUCUUUCCUUCUUCACUCGAAAUAAUUUCGCUGUGUUGGAUAGAGGAGAGACUAUAACGUUUGAGGGAAUGAUGGUUCCAAGCCGAGGACAGGCAGCAUUGUUAACUUUCUGCACGUGUGUAAGCUUGGGAAGUGUUGCCCUAGUUCUUACUAUAACAGUUCCAGAUGUAGGCAAUAAUUGGUUCUGGAUUACUGCCUUGAGUCCAUUAGCGGGUGUAUAUUAUUGGACUCGAGCAUCCAGAAAGGAGCAGAUCAAGGUUAAA